AAUAGAUACCCCGGUAGUCCACGCCGUAAACGAUGAGUGCUAGGUGUUAGGGGGUUUCCGCCCCUUAGUGCUGCAGCUAACGCAUUAAGCACUCCGCCUGGGGAGUACGGUCGCAAGACUGAAACUCAAAGGAAUUGACGGGGGCCCGCACAAGCGGUGGAGCAUGUGGUUUAAUUCGAAGCAACGCGAAGAACCUUACCAGGUCUUGACAUCCCGCUGACCGCCAUGGAGACAUGGCUUUCCCUUCGGGGACAGCGGUGACAGGUGGUGCAUGGUUGUCGUCAGCUCGUGUCGUGAGAUGUUGGGUUAAGUCCCGCAACGAGCGCAACCCUUGUCCUUAGUUGCCAUCAUUCAGUUGGGCACUCUAAGGAGACUGCCGUACAAAUACGGAGGAAGGUGGGGAUGACGUCAAAUCAUCAUGCCCCUUAUGACCUGGGCUACACACGUGCUACAAUGGGUGGUACAAAGGGCGGCAAACCCGCGAGGGGAGCGAAUCCCAAAAAGCCACUCUCAGUUCGGAUUGCAGGCUGCAACUCG
rnacentral:rRNA from 1 species